AAAAGUAUACAGGUUUUACAGUAGGAUAUUCAUCGAUUGUAUGUUAAAGAAUGAUAGCCAUAAGUUACCGUUACCGCAGGGGUCGUAGUGGCCUCUGCGGUUUUUUUAUUUCUAGAAGAAAAGGAGGUUGAAGCAAUGCCUAAAGGUCGCGUCAAAUGGUUCAAUGACAAAAAAGGCUUUGGUUUCAUUGAACAGGAAAAUGGCGAAGAUGUGUUUGUACAUUUCUCCGCUAUCCAAGGCGAUGGAUUCAAGUCCCUCGGCGAAGGCCAGGAAGUUGAAUUCGAAAUUGAAAAUGGCCCCAAGGGUGCCCAUGCAAAAAAUGUCGUUAAGGCAUAAGUCCGAACACUAAUUAGGCGCCCCGUCUGCAAUUUAUGGCGGGGCGUUUAAU
rfam:Nitrospirae bacterium GWA2_42_11 gwa2_scaffold_18239, whole genome shotgun sequence.